AGUGAACGCUGGCGGUAGGCCUAACACAUGCAAGUCGAACGGCAGCACAGUAAGAGCUUGCUCUUACGGGUGGCGAGUGGCGGACGGGUGAGGAAUACAUCGGAAUCUACUUUUUCGUGGGGGAUAACGUAGGGAAACUUACGCUAAUACCGCAUACGACCUACGGGUGAAAGCAGGGGAUCUUCGGACCUUGCGCGAUUGAAUGAGCCGAUGUCGGAUUAGCUAGUUGGCGGGGUAAAGGCCCACCAAGGCGACGAUCCGUAGCUGGUCUGAGAGGAUGAUCAGCCACACUGGAACUGAGACACGGUCCAGACUCCUACGGGAGGCAGCAGUGGGGAAUAUUGGACAAUGGGCGAAAGCCUGGUCCAGCAAUACCGCGUGGGUGAAGAAGGCCUUCGGGUUGUAAAGCCCUUUUGUUGGGAAAGAAAAGCAGCAGGUUAAUACCCCGCUGUUCUGACGGUACCCAAAGAAUAAGCACCGGCUAACUUCGUG
rnacentral:rRNA from 1 species